GACGAACGCUGGCGGCGUGCCUAACGCAUGCAAGUCGAACGGAAAGGCCCUGAUUUUGUGGUGUGCUCGAGUGGCGAACGGGUGAGUAACACGUGAGUAACCUGCCCUUGACUUUGGGAUAACUUCAGGAAACUGGGGCUAAUACCGGAUAGGAGCUCCUGCUGCAUGGUGGGGGUUGGAAAGUUUCGGCGGUUGGGGAUGGACUCGCGGCUUAUCAGCGUGUUGGUGGGGUAGUGGCUUACCAAGGCUUUGACGGGUAGCCGGCCUGAGAGGGUGACCGGCCACAUUGGGACUGAGAUACGGCCCAGACUCCAACGUGAGGCAGCGGUGGGGAAUAUUGCGCAAUGGGCGGAAGCCUGAUGCAGCAACGCCGCGUGCGGAAUGACGGCCUUCGGGUUGUAAACCGCUUUCGCCUGUGACGAAGCGUGAGUGACGGUAAUGGGUAAAGAAGCACCGGCUAACUACGUG
rnacentral:rRNA from 1 species